UCUUGGGUCUUUGUGCGUGUUUUUAUCUGUAAAAUUGCUAAGAGUGGAAUUUCUAGGUUAAAGCUUUUUGCGUUUAAAAAUGUGUAGAUACUGCAAAUCAAUUGCCCUCCAAAAAGGACCACACCAAUUUAUACGCUUAUAAACAAAGCCUGUGAGUGUUUCUUACCUGACACCCUCAGUCCCACUGGAUACUUUAAAACUCUUUCAUCCUUACCAAUCUAAUCAGUGAAAAAUGGAACUGCAGGUUAUUGGUUUUCCCUUGCUCAUUUAAAAAAUGUUGGUGUGAAUGAUUUGGGGACCCUUGGUCUAUCAAAGAAAUUACCUUUUUGUCGUAUGUAUUCUAUGUGUAUUCCCUAGUUUGUCUUUUAACUUUAAUUUCUGCUUGUAAAGAUAUUUCUGUACAGUGUUUUACAUUUCAAUGUAAUUAAGUGGAUCAGUUUUUUUAUUUAUGAUUUCUGGAGCUCAAUAAAUAUUAAGUGAAUCCAA
rnacentral:lncRNA from 10 species